AAGUCGUAACAAGGUUUCCGUAGGUGAACCUGCGGAAGGAUCAUUAUCGUGUUUUUUUCUGGUCUUCGCAAGAAGAUUUCAGAAACAAACGUAUUCACUCAAUCGUGAACUUGUUCCUUUGAGGAGAGAUGAGGUCUCUCGUCUUUUUCUCAAAUUAAUAUUUUUUUACAACUUUAUUCACCACUUGUAUUCAAUGUGCUAAACUACAAAUCUUGGAUGAAUAGCGUUUUUCGAAACGAGAUUCUGAAAAGAAAGUACGAAAUUGCUGAACAACUCUUAGCAACGGAUAUCUUGGUUCUC
rnacentral:misc_RNA from 1 species